UACGAAGGGGGCUAGCGUUGCUCGGAAUCACUGGGCGUAAAGGGUGCGUAGGCGGGUCUUUUAAGUCAGGGGUGAAAUCCUGGAGCUCAACUCCAGAACUGCCUUUGAUACUGAGGAUCUUGAGUUCGGGAGAGGUGAGUGGAACUGCGAGUGUAGAGGUGAAAUUCGUAGAUAUUCGCAAGAACACCAGUGGCGAAGGCGGCUCACUGGCCCGAUACUAACGCUGAGGCACGAAAGCGUGGGGAGCAAACAGG
rnacentral:rRNA from 1 species